ACGGGGUCUAAUACCGGAUAACACCGGCUUCCGCAUGGGAGCUGGUUGAAAGCUCCGGCGGUGAAGGAUGAGCCCGCGGCNUAUCAGCUUGUUGGUGGGGUAAUGGCCUACCAAGGCGACGACGGGUAGCCGGCCUGAGAGGGCGACCGGCCACACUGGGACUGAGACACGGCCCAGACUCCUACGGGAGGCAGCAGUGGGGAAUAUUGCACAAUGGGCGAACGUNGAUGCAGCGACGCCGCGUGAGGGAUGACGGCCUUCGGGUUGUAAACCUCUUUCAGCAGGGAAGAAGCGAAAGUGACGGUACCUGCAGAAGAAGCGCCGGCUAACUACGUGCCA
rnacentral:rRNA from 1 species